AUAUUGUAAGGAGAAACUGGAUGGUAGUCACUCUUACAGGACUAAUUGGUGUAUUUUCCUUGACACAAUCAUGUUCUAGAAAUACUUGUGCUGAUCAUGGUUUUCUGAGUUUCUGCAAAAAGGAUCCAAGCAGAAUAACUGUAAAGAGAAUUAUUUUAAUGGUAAUCAAUUGUUUAACAGAUACAGAGCUGUCCUCACAUCUGUGGUGCUUCCUGUCCUGAGGGAUUUUGUUUCGUUGCUUCAUCUCAAGUGAUCAUGUUUGAUGCAAGUUGCAAUGAUAUUCUUGCAACAUUCAAUUUUGAAUGUGAGAUUGAUUGCAUAGCAUGGAGUGAAGAUUCCUUGUUUCUUGCCAUUGGUGAAAGGUCAGGGACUUUCCACUUUGUUCAUUCAGCAUCAAGGCAAGUACUGUUUUCUCAGGAGCUUGAAUCUGAUGGGAAUUUAAAAUGCAGUGAAGAAUGUACCUU